AUGGGGGUAAGUAAGUAGCAAUGUUGUAAUCGAUAGGGAGAAGGUACGGUACAAUGAUGUAGUUGAUAAAGGGAGUAGGUAAGGUACUAUCUUGCAGUAGAUAUAGGAGUAAGUAAGGUAGUAUGUUGUGGUGGAUCAUGGAGUAGGUAAGGUGCAAUGAUGAGGGAGGAGGAUGAGGGAGUAAGUAUAAAGCAAUGUUUUAGUGAAUGCAGGAGCAAGGUACGGUACAAUAUUGUAGUUGAUAAGGGAGUAAGUAAGGUACAAUGUUGUGGUGGAUAAGGGAGUAGGUAAGGUGCAAAUGAUAUAGAGGAUAAAGGAGUAAGUAAGGUGCAAUUAUGUAGUUGAUAAGGAAGUAGGUAAGGUGCAAUGUUGUAGUUGAUAAGGGAAUAGGUAAGGUACAAUGUUGCAGUGGAUAAGUGAGCAGGUAAAGUACAAUGUUGGAGUGGAUAAGGGAGAAAGUAAGGAGCAAUGUUGUGGUGGAUAAGGCAGUAAGUAAGGUACAAUGUUGUAGUGGAUAAGGGAGUAAGUAAGGUGCAAUGUUGUAGUGGAUAAAGGAGUAAGUAAGGUGCAAUGUUGUAGUGGAUAAGGGAAUACGUAAGGUACAAUGUUGUAGUUGAUAAGGGAGUAAGUAAGGUACAUUGAAGUAAUAGAGAAAGGAGUAAGUAAGGUGCAAUGUUGCAGUAGAUAAGGGAGUCAGUAAGGUACAAUGUUGUAGUGGAUAAGGGAGUAGGUAAGGUGCAAUGCAGUAGAUAAGGGAGUAAGUAAGGUACAAUUUUGUAGUGAAUAAGGGAGUAGGUAAGGUACAAUGUUGCAGUAGAUAAAGUAGUAAGGAAGGUGCCAUGUUAUAGUGGAUAAGGGAGUAAGUACGAAGCAAUGUUGUAGUGGAUAAGGGAGUAGGUAAGGAACAAUGUUGUAGUGGAUACGGGAGGAAGUAAAGUACAAUGUUGUAGUGGAUAAGGGAGUAGGUAAGGUACACUGUUGCAGUAGAUAAGGGAGUAAGUAAGGUACAAUGUUGUAGUGGAUAAUGGAGUAAGUAAGGUAAAAUGUUGCAGUGGUAAGGGGAUAAGUAAGGUACAAUGUUGCAGUAGAUAACGGAGUAAGUAAG